rnacentral:rRNA from 1 species
UGGAGAGUUUGAUCCUGGCUCARAUUGAACGCUGGCGGCAUGCCUUACACAUGCAAGUCGAACGGCAGCAUGAUCUASCUUGCUAGAUUGAUGGCGAGUGGCGAACGGGUGAGUAAUACAUCGGAACGUGCCCUGUAGUGGGGGAUAACUAGUUCGAAAGAUUAGCUAAUACCGCAUAMSGACCUGAGGGUGAAAGUGGGGGGACCGCAAGGCCUCAUGCUAUAGGAGCGGCCGAUGUCUGAUUAGCUAGUUGGUGAGGUAAAGGCUCACCAAGGCGACGAUCAGUAGCUGGUCUGAGAGGACGAUCAGCCACACUGGGACUGAGACACGGCCCAGACUCCUACGGGAGGCAGCAGUGGGGAAUUUUGGACAAUGGGGGCAACCCUGAUCCAGCAAUGCCGCGUGUGUGAAGAAGGCCUUCGGGUUGUAAAGCACUUUUGUCCCGGAAAGAAAUCGCACUUACUAAUAUUAGGUGUGGAUGACGGUACCGGAAGAAUAAGGACCGGCUAACUACGUGCCAGCAGCCGCGGUAAUACGUAGGGUCCAAGCGUUAAUCGGAAUUACUGGGCGUAAAGCGCACGCAGGA